GAGUUUGAUCAUGGCUCCCAACGAACGCUGGCGGCGUGCUUAACACAUGAAGUCGGACGGGCUUAUGUUUGAAGGGCAACUGGAUGGCAUAAGUUAGUGCGCACGGGUGAGUAACACGUAGUUAAUCUACCUCUAAGAGGGGGACAAUGGGGGAAACUCCAGCUAAUACCGCAUAAGACCACGUGUUGGGAUACAAUGGUAAAAGGGGAGACUCGCUUAGAGAUGGGACUGCGGCUUAUCAGCUAUUGGUGGGGUAAAGGCUCACCAAGGCUAAGACGAGUAACCGGACUGAGAGUUGGACGGUCACACUGGAACUGAGACACGGUCCAGACUCCUACGGGAGCAGCAGUGGGGAAUUUUGCACAAUGGGGGGAACCCUGAUGCAGCGACGCGCGUGGAGGAAGAAGGCCUUCGGGUUGUAAACUUCUUUUAUAGGGGAGAUGGUGAUAGUACCUUAUGAAUAAGCCACGGCUAACUCUGUGCCAGCAGCGCGGUAAGACAGAGGUGGCGAGCGUUGUUCGGAAUUACUGGGCUUAAAGGCGCGUAGGCGGUUAGUUAAGUCUGGGGUGGAAUUUCAUAGCUCAACUAGGGGCUGCCUUAGAAACUGAUUGACUUGAGAUAGUAAGGGGAAGGCGGAUAUCUGGUGUAGCGGUGAAAUGCUUAGAUAUCAGGUAGAAGGCCUGUGGGAAGGCGGCCUUCUGGUGCUAAUCUCGACGCUGAGGCGCGAAAGCGUGGGAGCGAA
rnacentral:rRNA from 1 species